rnacentral:rRNA from 1 species
CCUACGGGGGGCAGCAGUGAGGAAUAUUGGUCAAUGGACGAGAGUCUGAACCAGCCAAGUAGCGUGAAGGAUGACUGCCCUAUGGGUUGUAAACUUCUUUUAUAUGGGAAUAAAAUGUUCCACGUGUGGGAUUUUGUAUGUACCAUAUGAAUAAGGAUCGGCUAACUCCGUGCCAGCAGCCGCGGUAAUACGGAGGAUCCGAGCGUUAUCCGGAUUUAUUGGGUUUAAAGGGAGCGUAGGUGGAUUGUUAAGUCAGUUGUGAAAGUUUGCGGCUCAACCGUAAAAUUGCAGUUGAAACUGGCAGUCUUGAAUACAGUAGAGGUGGGCGGAAUUCGUGGUGUAGCGGUGAAAUGCUUAGAUAUCACGAAGAACUCCGAUUGCGAAGGCAGUUCACUGGACUGCAACUGACACUGAGGCUCGAAAGUGUGGGUAUCAAACAGGAUUAGAUACCCUAGUAGUC